rnacentral:rRNA from 1 species
UACAGAGGUCCCAAGCGUUGUUCGGAUUCACUGGCGUAAAGGGUGCGUAGGUGGUCGGGUAAGUCUGAUGUGAAAUCUCUGAGCUCAACUCAGAAACUGCAUUGGAUACUAUUCGGCUAGAGGAGUGGAGGGGGGACUGGAAUACUUGGUGUAGCAGUGAAAUGCGUAGAUAUCAAGUGGAACACCAGUGGCGAAGGCGAGUCCCUGGACAAACCCUGACACUGAGGCACGAAAGCCAAGGGAGCAAACAGG